rnacentral:rRNA from 1 species
UUCCAGACUCCUACGGGAGGCAGCAGUGGGGAAUAUUGGGCAAUGGGCGCAAGCCUGACCCAGCAACGCCGCGUGAAGGAAGAAGGCUUUCGGGUUGUAAACUUCUUUUCUCAGGGACGAAUAAAUGACGGUACCUGAGGAAUAAGCCACGGCUAACUACGUGCCAGCAGCCGCGGUAAUACGUAGGUGGCAGGCGUUAUCCGGAUUUACUGGGUGUAAAGGGCGUGUAGGCGGGGACGCAAGUCAGAUGUGAAAACCACGGGCUCAACCUGUGGCCUGCAUUUGAAACUGUGCUUCUUGAGUACUGGAGAGGCAGACGGAAUUCCUAGUGUAGCGGUGAAAUGCGUAGAUAUUAGGAGGAACACCAGUGGCGAAGGCGGUCUGCUGGACAGCAACUGACGCUGAGGCGCGAAAGCGUGGGGAGCAAACAGGAUUAGAUACCCCCGUACA